rnacentral:tRNA from 1 species
ACCCAUUUAAUUCAAUGGUUAGAGUAUCGCUUUCAUACGUCGAUAGUCAUCGGUUCAAAUCCAAUAGUAGGUC